UUUAAUACGCACAAAAUUACAGGUCAAGCAAACUAUUCACCAUUGGAAACACAAACUGGAAGAAAUGGAAUCCUCUCUACCAACUUAUUGAUUGAAGUUUUUGAUUGAUGUACACUUAUUGAUUGAUAAAUAAAAGUUUCAAAAGGAGAAGACUUUCUAGAUGUUCUGAAAAAGAAAAAAUGAGCUCAAUUUUGAAAAUUUGCAAAUUGGAG
rnacentral:lncRNA from 1 species